UAGGGAAUCUUCCGCAAUGGACGAAAGUCUGACGGAGCAACGCCGCGUGAGUGAAGAAGGAUUUCGGUUCGUAAAACUCUGUUGUUAGGGAAGAAAAAAUGUAUAUUAACUAUAUACAAAAGAGACGGUACUUAACAAGAAAGCCACGGCUAACUACGUGCCAGCAGCCGCGGUAAUACGUAGGUGGCAAGCGUUGCCCGGAAUUAUUGGGCGUAACGCGCGCGCAGGUGGUUUAGAAAGCCUGAUGUUAAAGCCCAAGGCUCAACCGUGGAUGGUCAUUGGAAACUAAUAAACUUGAGUGCAGGAGAGAAAAGUGUAAUUCCUAGUGUAGCGGUUAAAUGCAUAGAGAUUAGGAAGAACACCGGUGGCGAAAGCGGCUUUUUGGCCUGCAACUGACACUGAGGCGCGAAAGCGUGGGGAGCAAACAGG
rnacentral:rRNA from 1 species